CCUACGGGAGGCAGCAGUGGGGAAUAUUGGGCAAUGGGCGCAAGCCUGACCCAGCAACGCCGCGUGAAGGAAGAAGGCUUUCGGGUUGUAAACUUCUUUUGUCGGGGACGAAACAAAUGACGGUACCCGACGAAUAAGCCACGGCUAACUACGUGCCAGCAGCCGCGGUAAUACGUAGGUGGCAAGCGUUAUCCGGAUUUACUGGGUGUAAAGGGCGUGUAGGCGGGAUUGCAAGUCAGAUGUGAAAACUGGGGGCUCAACCUCCAGCCUGCAUUUGAAACUGUAGUUCUUGAGUGCUGGAGAGGCAAUCGGAAUUCCGUGUGUAGCGGUGAAAUGCGUAGAUAUACGGAGGAACACCAGUGGCGAAGGCGGAUUGCUGGACAGUAACUGACGCUGAGGCGCGAAAGCGUGGGGAGCAAACAGGAUUAGAUACCCCAGU
rnacentral:rRNA from 1 species